GUGCCAGCAGCCGCGGUAAUACGAACCGUCCAAACGUUAUUCGGAAUCACUGGGCUUACAGAGUUCGUAGGCGGCGGAGAAAGUAGGGUGUGAAAGCCCUCGGCUUAACCGAGGAAUAGCGCCCUAAACUACUUCGCUUGAGGAGGCUAGAGGUGAGCAGAACAGAUGGUGGAGCGGUGAAAUGCGUUGAUAUCAUCUGGAAUACCGGAGGCGAAGGCGGCUCACUGGGACCUUUCUGACGCUGAGGAACGAAAGCUAGGGUAGCGAACGGGAUUAGAAACCCGCGUAGUCC
rnacentral:rRNA from 1 species